GACAGAGGAGCCAAGCGUUGUUCGGAAUUACUGGGCGUAAAGGGCUCGUAGGCGGCCAACUAAGUCGGACGUGAAAUCCCUCAGCUUAACUGGGGAACUGCGUCCGAUACUGGAUGGCUUGGAUUUGGGAGAGGGAUGCGGAAUUCCAGGUGUAGCGGUGAAAUGCGUAGAUAUCUGGAGGAACACCGGUGGCGAAGGCGGCAUCCUGGACCAAUAUUGACGCUGAGGAGCGAAAGCCAGGGGAGCAAACGGG
rnacentral:rRNA from 1 species